UCGAGCGGCGGACGGGUGAGUAACGCGUGGGUAACCUGCCUCAUACAGGGGGAUAACAGUUGGAAACGGCUGCUAAUACCGCAUAAGCGCACAGUACCGCAUGGUACGGUGUGAAAAACUCCGGUGGUAUGAGAUGGACCCGCGUCUGAUUAGGUAGUUGGUGGGGUAACGGCCUACCAAGCCGACGAUCAGUAGCCGACCUGAGAGGGUGACCGGCCACAUUGGGACUGAGACACGGCCCAA
rnacentral:rRNA from 1 species